GAUGAACGCUGGCGGCGUGCCUAAUACAUGCAAGUCGAGCGAACGGACGAGAAGCUUGCUUCUCUGAUGUUAGCGGCGGACGGGUGAGUAACACGUGGAUAACCUACCUAUAAGACUGGGAUAACUUCGGGAAACCGGAGCUAAUACCGGAUAAUAUUUUGAACCGCAUGGUUCAAAAGUGAAAGACGGUCUUGCUGUCACUUAUAGAUGGAUCCGCGCUGCAUUAGCUAGUUGGUAAGGUAACGGCUUACCAAGGCAACGAUGCAUAGCCGACCUGAGAGGGUGAUCGGCCACACUGGAACUGGGACACGGUCCAGACUCCUACGGGAGGCAGCAGUAGGGAAUCUUCCGCAAAGGGCGAAAGCCUGACGGAGCAACGCCGCGUGAGUGAUGAAGGUCUUCGGAUCGUAAAACUCUGUUAUUAGGGAAGAACAUAUGUGUAAGUAACUGUGCACAUCUUGACGGUACCUAAUCAGAAAGCCACGGCUAACUACGUG
rnacentral:rRNA from 1 species